rnacentral:rRNA from 1 species
UACGUAGGGUGCAAGCGUUGUCCGGAAUUAUUGGGCGUAAAGAGCUCGUAGGCGGUUUGUCGCGUCUGGUGUGAAAAUCCAGGGCUUAACCCUGGACCUGCAUCGGGUACGGGCAGACUAGAGUGCGGUAGGGGAGAUCGGAAUUCCUGGUGUAGCGGUGAAAUGCGCAGAUAUCAGGAGGAACACCGGUGGCGAAGGCGGAUCUCUGGGCCGUAACUGACGCUGAGACGCGAAAGCGUGGGGAGCGAACAGG